UACGUAGGGGGCUAGCGUUGUCCGGAAUCAUUGGGCGUAAAGCGCGUGUAGGCGGUCCGGUAAGUCCGCUGUGAAAGUCGGGGGCUCAACCCUCGAAUGCCGGUGGAUACUGUCGGGCUAGAGUGCGGAAGAGGCGAGUGGAAUUCCUGGUGUAGCGGUGGAAUGCGCAGAUAUCAGGAGGAACACCAAUAGCGAAGGCAGCUCGCUGGGACGGUACUGACGCUGAGGCGCGAAAGCGUGGGGAGCGAACAGG
rnacentral:rRNA from 1 species